rnacentral:rRNA from 1 species
GACGAACGCUGGCGGCGUGCUUAACACAUGCAAGUCGAGCGGUAAGGCCCUUUCGGGGGUACACGAGCGGCGAACGGGUGAGUAACGACGUGGGUGACCUGCCCUUAGCUCUGGGAUAAGCCUGGGAAACUGGGUCUAAUACCGGAUAUGACUCCAUGACGCAUGUUGUGGGGUGGAAAGCCUUGUGCGGCUAGGGAUGGGCCCGCGGCCUAUCAGCUUGUUGGUGGGGUGAUGGCCUACCAAGGCGACGACGGGUAGCCGGCCUGAGAGGGCGACCGGCCACACUGGGACUGAGAUACGGCCCAGACUCCUACGGGAGGCAGCAGUGGGGAAUCUUGCGCAAUGGGCGAAAGCCUGACGCAGCGACGCCGCGUGAGGGAUGACG